rnacentral:rRNA from 1 species
UAAGGAAUCUUCCACAAUGGACGAAAGUCUGAUGGAGCAACACCGCGUGCAGGAUGACGGUCUUCGGAUUGUAAACUGCUUUUAUAUGGGAAGAUUAUGACGGUACCAUAUGAAUAAGCACCGGCUAACUACGUGCCAGCAGCCGCGGUAAUACGUAGGGUGCAAGCGUUAUCCGGAAUCACUGGGCGUAAAGCGUGCGUAGGUGGAUGUUUAAGUGAGAUGUUAAAUCGUGUGGCUCAACCAUAUCGAUGCAUCUCAUACUGGGCAUCUAGAGGACGGCAGAGGCAAGUGGAACUAGCAGUGUAGCAGUGAAAUGCGUAGAUAUUGCUAAGAACACCAAUGGCGAAGGCAGCUUGCUGGGCCACUCCUGACACUGAGGUACGAAAGCGUGGGGAGCGAACAGGAUUAGAUACCCCCGUAGUCC